rnacentral:rRNA from 1 species
UACGUAGGGUGCGAGCGUUAAUCGGAAUUACUGGGCGUAAAGCGUGCGCAGGCGGUUUUGUAAGCCAGAUGUGAAAUCCCCGGGCUCAACCUGGGAAUGGCAUUUGGGACUGCAAGGCUGGAGUACGGCAGAGGAGACUGGAAUUCCCGGUGUAGAGGUGAAAUUCGUAGAUAUUCGGAAGAACACCAGUGGCGAAGGCGGCGACCUGGUCCGAGACUGACGCUGAGGCGCGAAAGCGUGGGGAGCAAACAGG